UACAGAGGUCUCAAGCGUUGUUCGGAUUCAUUGGGCGUAAAGGGUGCGUAGGCGGCGCGGUAAGUCGGGUGUGAAAUCUCGGAGCUUAACUCCGAAACUGCAUUCGAUACUGCCGUGCUUGAGGACUGGAGAGGAGACUGGAAUUUACGGUGUAGCGGUGAAAUGCGCAGAUAUCGGGAGGAACACCAGCGGCGAAGGCGGCACUCUGGGCUGGAACUGACGCUGAGGAGCGAAAGCGUGGGUAGCAAACAGG
rnacentral:rRNA from 1 species